UUUCCCUCAGGAUAGCUGGCACUCGUUUGAGCGAGUCUCAUCUGGUAAAGCGAAUGAUUAGAGGCCUUGGGGCCGAAACGACCUCAACCUAUUCUCAAACUUUAAAUGGGUGAGAACUCUGGCUUGCUUAAAUUAUGAAGCCACGAGAUUUUCAUUGGAUCAGAGUGCCAAGUGGGCCAAUUUUGGUAAGCAGAACUGGCGCUGUGGGA
rnacentral:rRNA from 1 species